rnacentral:rRNA from 1 species
CCUACGGGGGGCAGCAGUGAGGAAUAUUGGUCAAUGGAGGCAACUCUGAACCAGCCAAGUCGCGUGAAGGAUGAAGGUCUUAUGGAUUGUAAACUUCUUUUGUAAGGGAAUAAAGUGAGCCACGUGUGGUUUUUUGCAUGUACCUUACGAAUAAGGAUCGGCUAACUCCGUGCCAGCAGCCGCGGUAAUACGGAGGAUCCGAGCGUUAUCCGGAUUUAUUGGGUUUAAAGGGUGCGCAGGCGGGAUGUUAAGUCGGCGGUGAAAUUUUGCGGCUC